AGAUACCCUGGUAGUCCACGCCGUAAACGAUGUCGACUUGGAGGUUGUUCCCUUGAGGAGUGGCUUCCGGAGCUAACGCGUUAAGUCGACCGCCUGGGGAGUACGGCCGCAAGGUUAAAACUCAAAUGAAUUGACGGGGGCCCGCACAAGCGGUGGAGCAUGUGGUUUAAUUCGAUGCAACGCGAAGAACCUUACCUACUCUUGACAUCCAGAGAACUUAGCAGAGAUGCUUUGGUGCCUUCGGGAACUCUGAGACAGGUGCUGCAUGGCUGUCGUCAGCUCGUGUUGUGAAAUGUUGGGUUAAGUCCCGCAACGAGCGCAACCCUUAUCCUUUGUUGCCAGCGGUUAGGCCGGGAACUCAAAGGAGACUGCCAGUGAUAAACUGGAGGAAGGUGGGGAUGACGUCAAGUCAUCAUGGCCCUUACGAGUAGGGCUACACACGUGCUACAAUGGCGCAUACAAAGAGAAGCGACCUCGCGAGAGCAAGCGGACCUCAUAAAGUGCGUCGUAGUCCGGAUUGGAGUCUGCAACUCGACUCCAUGAAGUCGGAAUCGCUAGUAAUCGUAGAUCAGAAUGCUACGGUGAAUACGUUCCCGGGCCUUGUACACACCGCCCGUCACACCAUGGGAGUGGGUUGCAAAAGAAGUAGGUAGC
rnacentral:rRNA from 1 species